GCUUACGGCCACACCGCCUGUUUCACGCUUGAUCUCGGAAGAUAAGAAAGGUUGGGCCUGGUUAGUACUUGGAUGGGAGAUCGCCUGGGAAUACCAGGUGCUGAAGGCC
ensembl:rRNA 5S_rRNA 5S ribosomal RNA